GAUGAACGCUGGCGGCGUGCCUAAUACAUGCAAGUCGAGCGAACAGACGAGGAGCUUGCUCCUCUGACGUUAGCGGCGGACGGGUGAGUAACACGUGGAUAACCUACCUAUAAGACUGGGAUAACUUCGGGAAACCGGAGCUAAUACCGGAUAAUAUAUUGAACCGCAUGGUUCAAUAGUGAAAGACGGUUUUGCUGUCACUUAUAGAUGGAUCCGCGCCGCAUUAGCUAGUUGGUAAGGUAACGGCUUACCAAGGCAACGAUGCGUAGCCGACCUGAGAGCGUGAUCGGCCACACUGGAACUGAGACACGGUCCAGACUCCUGCGGGAGGCAGCAGUAGGGAAUCUUACGCAAUGGGCGAAAGCCUGACGGAGCAACGCCGCGUGAGUGAUGAAGGUCUUCGGAUCGUAAAACUCUGUUAUUAGGGAAGAACAAAUGUGUAAGUAACUAUGCACGUCUUGACGGUACCUAAUCAGAAAGCCACGGCUAACUACGUG
rnacentral:rRNA from 1 species